AUGGAGGUGAGGGAGAAAAGGAAGAAAGGAGGGGCGGUGCAGCGACCUAGGCAGGAGCUCGUCGGAGCGUGGCGACGGCGGACGGGCGCGGGAGAGGGGCGGAUCCGGCGCGACGGCGAGGAGUCCUUAAAUAUUCAGACUCGUCGUAAUUCCUUAUUCAUCCUGCUGGUGUUGUUCGUCCAGAGGAAGGAGAAGAGGAAGGCGGCAACGCCGCCGGCCGGUUGGGUGACAGCAACCAGGCCACGGGUGGUGCAGCCACUCCUGCGAGUAAGAAUGAGGACUUACCACCAGUCAUCGCUUGGCUGUACAGCGACGAUUUUCGCCGAUAAUCCGUCUACUCAUACUCGACCGUUCGCCGGAACUUUGUCUGACCUGAGGUAUAUACUACUUUUUAUCACUUUUGCUUCUUCUCACCGGAUGCAUGCAUGCUUCUCCACACAGGUUUCCCUUAGUUCAGUACUUAUUUUUUUUGGUGUAUACUUUCUCCUCAUCAAUCAUGUAUACGUACAACAAAACAGAAAGAAACAUAUGUUGUUGAUCGAUACUGAACUAUCAUAUGGAAGAUAA
rnacentral:rRNA from 1 species